rnacentral:lncRNA from 1 species
AUUUCAAAGGUAUUUCCGAAGGUGUUGUCACUGAAACUAGUAUUGGUCUGCACUAAAUUAUUGGCUUCCUUCUCUAAUACGACUAGUUUAGUCUACAACAUUGCAACCUUUACUUGUAACCGUUCUUGCCGUUUCUUCCAAUUGAUCUCCAUCUUUGCUUUCUCAGACAUCAUGUUUGCCACCUUCUCUUUUUCUAUCAUCCACUUUUCCUUAACCCUAACCUCCACUAGCGCAACGUCAAUUAGUGGUAAGUUUUACGAAAUGCACAAAAGCCCAUGCAUAUGUACUCCUCAAAAAUCUUGCUACUUCUCUUUAGUCCAACAAACAUCCAAUCAGAUCGGCUCUAUGUUAGUCACAAUAAUACACUCUAAUGGUGGCAACUCAUCCUUGCACCUUACAUUGCGUUGUUUCUCCUUUAUAUUCAAGUGCCUCUUACUCUUCUCAAUCGCCAUUGUAUUCUAACACAAGCAAGCACUCACAACUAAUCUCUCAAAACACACUUAUAUGGCUACUUACACAAAAGAAAAUACGAUGCUUAUCAAGAGCCCCCCUCCUACUUCUUACUAUGGUCCAAUCAAUUGGAUCGACUCCCCUUUAUUUUCCACAAUUUGUCAUGAUGAAAUACCCUACUAACUAGGUCUGACAACUAGUCUUUACUAUGGCC